rnacentral:rRNA from 1 species
AGAAUCAACGCUGGCGGCGUGCCUCAGACAUGCAAGUCGAACGCGAAAGUUUCCUUCGGGGAGCGAGUAGAGUGGCGCACGGGUGAGUAACACGUAGGUAAUCUACCUUUGGGUGGGGAAUAACAGCCGGAAACGGCUGCUAAUACCGCAUAAUGCAGCGGCUCGACAUCGAGACAGUUGUUAAAGCGGGGGCUUCGCAAGAACCUCGCGCCUAAAGAGGAGCCUGCGGCGGAUUAGCUAGUUGGUAAGGUAAUGGCUUACCAAGGCAUCGAUCCGUA